UGGGCGAUCGUUCAACGGCAGGACAGCGGACUCUGACUCCGUCAAUCUAAGUUCGAAUCUUAGUCGCCCAGCCA
rnacentral:tRNA from 1 species